rnacentral:misc_RNA from 1 species
CGUGGCGCCGUCGCACGAGACAUGCGCUUUUUGGUCGUGCGUGUAUUUUUGGCAGCCUUCUGCACGGUUGCAGCGGUGCUGCCCGCCACAGCGCUGCGGGUGAAACCCACCAUCACGGCUCUCACCUUCGACGUGGGCAAGGAAGAGGUGUGCCUGUAUUCGAUGGGGAAGGACUUCUACGAAGGCGUGACCAUGCACUACCACGUCAUGGAGGGAGAGAACGACUUUGACGUGUUCAUUCGCGAUGUGGACGGACACGUGAUCUACGCCUCCUACGCGGGUGAGCAUGGCGCCGAGGACCGCGUGUAUUUUACGACGCACGCGAACAAGGAGCAUGCAUACUGUAUCGACAAUCGCGACUACUCGGGCGAGCUGAAGGUGAUCAAGAUGGAAGUUGGUCUGACCUCUCUCAAGCGCUGGAAGAACCGCAUAGACCCGCUGCGGAAGCUCAUGACGCGCACGGAUGGCUUCGUGAUGGGCAUGCACGAUGAUCAGAUCCUGCUUCGGAUGAAGGAGCAGGGCAUCCGAGAGUGGGUAGAAAAGAUCUUCACCAUGCUGACGGUGCGCUUAGUGGCCGAGGCUUUCGUCAUGGCAGUCAUCGCGCUGCUGAACGUUUUCAGCAUCACGUACCUUUUUCGCCGAGCCUCCCUGCAGCGCCCGUUUACGGGAAGCACGGCGAGGAGGUGAUGCGGGCUGCGAGAGGUCCGCUAUGCAGCGCAGUUCUCUGACGCUUUCUUAUCCCAUGAAGUUUACCCGCGUUCGGCAAGCGACCUUGCGUGAGGAGGAGUUGCUAUGGCGUAGGCAAACAUGCCGCGUAGCAGAAGAUUUGCGAACACCACACACACGCUGGCGGAUAUGUGGACAGCUGCGUGUGUUCCUAUGUUCCUCGUAUGUGCAUGGGCACGCUUGUGAUAGUCGAGUUCUUUUGCUCCUCUUUCUCUUGCUUUCCAUUUUACUCAUCGUCGAUGUUCAGACCCGGCUUGUUUUG